rnacentral:rRNA from 1 species
GAUCAUGGCUCAGGAUGAACGCUGGCGGCGUGCUUAACACAUGCAAGUCGAGCGAAGCGAUUUAAGUGAAGUUUUCGGAUGGAUCUUAGAUUGACUGAGCGGCGGACGGGUGAGUAACGCGUAUCCAACCUGCCCAUCACUUGGGAAUAACCUUGCGAAAGUAAGACUAAUGCCCAAUGACAUCCCACGAAGGCAUCCGAAUGGGAUUAAAGAUUUAUCGGUGAUGGAUGGGGA